CUUUAGAGCAGUGGAGGUUACAGGAGAUGAGGGGUUGCAGUCUCGGAGACGAGGCAGCACUCAAUAACCCAAAGAACAAGUGAGCAUUGUCAGUACAAAGAAAAUACUCGAUGGUGCUAUAGAAAACUCCGGGAUUGCCAGAAAUCGAAUAUAUUUCUGUGUCUGAGACAGGUUUUUGAUCUUUCUUGGUAAAAGGGGAGGCUGUGUGAAUAAUGAAUAAUGGAAAGGUGUUAUGCCGGAUGCCAGCACACAAUGGUCAGAGAGUCACCACCGUGCAGGUGGAUGUCGACAACAAGCAGCUACCUCCCCUCACAAGUAUUUACAAAUGCAAUGCCUUUUUGAAUAAUCAUCACUCAUUACCUGAUGACUGUAUCCCAAUUGCCAAGGUGAGGACUUGACAUUGGUGGUCUGGAGGGUUAAUCCCUACAUCCAGAAGUGUCUCACUCGACAACUAAGCACUACAGCCAGCCUCUAGCCCACCUGGCAGCACUGAAGUCCCAACUGGCUGCAACCUUUCAAGAGCCCAAUGACAGCUCCUACGGCUUAAAGCAUGUCAGUCUGUUGACUCAAAGCCAAACAGAUUUUAAGCCUGAAGAAGGGCAUUCAGACCACUUAACAGGACUGUGCUUCCCCAUCUGAAGGUGUUUGUUUCCAGCAGUCUGGAUAAGAAGGGGCAAAUGUGGGAUGAAGAGAAUCGCCUCCUCAGGACGCUCCAGCUGAAUGCGGUGCCUGAAUGCUUGGCGUACAGUGUGUUUGGAGGAGAUGUGUUCCUGGGCAUCAGAGAGGGCCUGUACGUGAUGAGCUGUACAAAGUUCCUGCCACCCAACUACCAGCAAACAGAAGACAGUAAUGCGCGUGCUGACAGAACUGAACGUGGAGGAGGUCUAGCAGUGGCUGUGGCCCAAGGUGGACACUUGGGACUCGGAGCUGGAGGAACAGUGUGACACCUGGAAGAGUCUCCACAGCAAAGCAGAAUGAUGGCUGGACUUGUGGUUCUCAACAUACAAAGAGCAUAGCAGGUAUCUCUACCUGAACAGUAACACCAAGUGGACACCCCCGGCAUGCAGUGUGGUUGAAGUGAUCAAUUAUUUCUGCUGUGUGCAAAAGGACGAGCACAACAAACCCAGAAAUGCCACACCUCCUGGUCACAAAAACACAGUGCUUUUGCCUAUUUAUCACAGGUUGAAUUCUGCCUCCCGUGCGACACCGUCCCUUCCUCAUGCAGUUCCCCAAUUUCAUCACUUUGCCGUUAGAAGAAGAAGACUGGUGGAAGGUCUUGACUCAGUCCUAU